UCGACCCACACCAAGACGCCGUCGAGGCACCGUACCCCCUCGCGGCCGAUGUGACCACGUUCUUCGAACAUGGCGGGCUCACCUUGGGGCAAAAGGGAGAUUUGCCGUCACAUCCAUAGAGUAAUUUAGGCAGCUUCGCGAGCUACAACCAAAAAGUCCAUAAACUUUAACACAUGAUUGGUCUUUUUCCUUGUCAGGUAUCAGUAAAUAGCAUUUUUCAUUUGUCAUAUCGAAUUUGAUCUAUGGUAAUGAUAGUCUUUGAUUGCAGGACAAAGAAGAGGCAAUGAUUGAGUUUCUGUGAUUAGUAAAUGAGACCAACCUGUUAGGUGCAGGGGAAUAUGUGGGUCUUCAUUGAUGCUCCUUUCCUGAUGAAAAACUUGGAUUUAGGUUAUGGUUGAUUUAAUUGGAUGCUCCUUUCCUGAGAUUUUGAGGUUUAUUUUUUUCAGGCUAUGAACAAGAGCUAUCUGAUGUGCUGCCGACAUGAAAGAAGCCUACGGUUGAGGGUAGAGCUUUGAGUGGAUCAGGUUUUGGAGCAAAAAAAAAAAAAGCUUCAGGUUUCCUAAGCUGCCAAGCUGCCGAGGAUACAUAGCCUCAACUGAAGGAAAGCUCCAUUCAAAUAUGUAUUCAUUUAUCACAACACUUCCAUCAUGUGUUCAAAGUGCAUAAGUAUAGCGUUCGGUCACGUUCAGAGUUGAUUUAAUGGAAGAUUGAAGCCUCGAUGACAUCAAUGAACACAAAGGGACUGGACAACGUCAAUAGCUGCAUCGGCGGUGAAUCCCGAGAUGAUAUAAAUGACCGGUACUUACUGAACCAGAAUAACAAAAGCUGGAUGCACUUAGGAUGGAAGCACUUGAGUUAAGCACUGCACAGAAAGAAUCGGCAGUGGACUUAUCUUGCAGGCCAGGUUGAAUGCUGAUUGCCCCUCUAGCCAUGUUGAUUGCUGAUUGCCCCCCUACAAUGGCAGCUGGUCCUGGAUGUGUGCUGGUGAAGGUGACGGUGAGGCAAUGAAGCUGUGUUCGGCCAAGCUGCUGCAACAGCAGCGAGAACAGAUCUGCUUUCCUAACAGGAGGGCGAGACGCGAGAGGCCUAUAUAAAAGCCAUCGACCCCAACGACCCCAUUGCUUCAUCUUGCGUUUUGGGAUCUGGAAUUCGACAGGACCCGUGACUCCGAUCUGAAGACAAUGUGAGGCGGCCUCCGGCUCCGGUGAUGAACAAGGCUCCUUCAGAAUCUGCAAAGCAUGCGCGACGGCAUGGACGAUCAUCUUCUUCACCUGCAGUCAUGAAGAGAUCAAGCCAGCAUUAAAAGGGGAAAAAAGGUCCUAUCAUGUAGACCAGGAUGAAGGCUUCCUCUUCAUCAAGUCGCCUCGUCUCAACAGAGAAAAGAAAAAACAUCCGAGGACUUGAUCAACACAGUCCAGUAUGAUAUAACUAUGUCCAAUGGAUGGAUUUGGGUAAAUCGUUCUCAAUUCCAAUCGUGUAAAUUAUUUACUUACCGCAUCAGACAAAUCACAAUGAAGCUUUGUAACGGAAUCUCCUCUGCCUAGUUCCUGUGCAUAGCCAUAAGCUAUAUAUGAUUUUGGGCCCAUGUCAAGCUUUAAGAUGUCACCAGGAAGCAACGCAGAGACAUUUAGCAAGCCAGAUUUCAAAUUUGUAUAUGGCUGAAAUGGCAAGGAAUUGAUGUAUUUCCUUCCAUGGGAAGGCAAAAUAUUUUCAAAGUGGUUUGAAGUAGGCCAGUCCUUUAAUUUAAGCAUUUCAGGCCAAAGAUUGCGAUACAUCCGACCAUGAUAAUACCCUUUGAAAAAGUCAGUGGUGCGUAUCUCAACCUGUAUAUAUAUAAACAAAUAGAUUAGGUUUCUCACUUGAUUAUGGUAAAAGGGAAAAAAAUAGCAUCUCUAACAGAAUAAUUAAUGUAGCAUAGAUUUGCAGUUGGAAGAAUGUAUUGCACUACCCUCACAGAAAGCCAGACAGUCAAUGGCUUUCACCAUUUUCAUCUCAGAACUAUUAUCGGUGCCAUGUAUUGCAGACCACAUAUCUGGUGGCUCCCAGCUUAAAUGAGACAUUUUGUUGAGCACCCCUUGCACAAUUACAGGUUCUCCUUUCACCCAGUGCUUCUGGAAGUGCUUGAGAUCAUCUGGCUUCCUGUCAUCUGAUAUGGGACAAUAUAUGCUGUUAUCUGUUGAAUUUUCUCUGGUAGCAGCUUUCCUUGAAUUUUCAUGAUUAGCUGAACAUGAGCAUUCGCAUGUAUCUGUACUGAUGAUAUCAGAAGGUUGUAGCUGCUUGCUCAUUUGCAAAGCCAACAUUUCGAGCUUA